rnacentral:rRNA from 1 species
UACAGAGGAGCCAAGCGUUGUCCGGAUUGACUGGGCGUAAAGCGCACGUAGGCGGCUUUCUAAGUCAGAGGUGAAAGCCCGGAGCUCAACUCCGGAACUGCCUUUGAUACUGGAAAGCUUGAGUCCGGGAGAGGUGAGUGGAACUGCGAGUGUAGAGGUGAAAUUCGUAGAUAUUCGCAAGAACACCAGUGGCGAAGGCGGCUCACUGGCCCGAUACUGACGCUGAGGUGCGAAAGCGUGGGGAGCAAACAGG